rnacentral:rRNA from 1 species
UUGGAGGGCAAGUCUGGUGCCAGCAGCCGCGGUAAUUCCAGCUCCAAUAGCGUAUAUCAAAGUUGCUGCAGUUAAAAAGCUCGUAGUUGAAUUUCGGGACCAUCAUGUCGGUCGUGCCUCGGUACGUACUGGCAUUGUUGGUUUCUCCCUUCUGACGAACCAUGAUGUCAUUUAUUUGGUGUUGUGGGGAAUCAGGACUGUUACUUUGAAAAAAUUAGAGUGUUUAAAGCAGGCUCACGCUUGAAUACAUUAGCAUGGAAUAAUGAAAUAGGACGUUUGAUUCUAUUUUGUUGGUUUCUAGGAUCGACGUAAUGAUUAAUAGGGAUAGUGGGGGGCAUUAGUAUUCAAUUGUCAGAGGUGAAAUUCUUGGAUUUAUUGAAGACUAACUACUGCGAAAGCAUUUGCCAAGGAUGUUUUCAUUAAUCAAGAACGAAAGCUAGGGGAUCGAAGACGAUCGGAUACCGUCGUAGUCUUAACCAUAAACUAUGCCGACUAGGGAUCGGAUGAUGUUAAUUUUUUAAUGACUCAUUCGGCGCCUUACGGGAAACCAAAGUGUUUGGGUUC